rnacentral:rRNA from 1 species
GAUGAACGCUGGCGGUAUGCCUAACACAUGCAAGUCGUACGAGAGUUUUUAACUCUAGUGGCGGACGGGUGAGUAACACGUGAGAAUUUGCCUUUAGGAGGGGGACAACAAUCGGAAACGAAUGCUAAUACCCCAUAUGCUUUCGAGUGAAAUGGAUUUUAUCCGCCUAGAGAGAAGCUCGCGGCUGAUUAGCUUGUUGGUAAGGUAAGAGCUUACCAAGGCGACGAUCAGUAUCUGGUUUGAGAGGACGAUCAGACACACUGGAACUGAGACACGGUCCAGACUCCUACGGGAGGCAGCAGUGGGGAAUUUUGGACAAUGGGCGCAAGCCUGAUCCAGCAAUGCCGCGUGCAGGAUGAAGGCCUUCGGGUUGUAAACUGCUUUGUACGGAACGAAACGGCGAGCUCUAAUAAAGUUUGCUAAUGACGGUACCGUAAGAAUAAGCACCGGCUAACUACGUG